rnacentral:rRNA from 1 species
AAUAGAUACCCCGGUAGUCCACGCCGUAAACGAUGUCGACUUGGAGGUUGUGCCCUUGAGGCGUGGCUUCCGGAGCUAACGCGUUAAGUCGACCGCCUGGGGAGUACGGCCGCAAGGUUAAACUCAAAUGAAUUGACGGGGGCCCGCACAAGCGGUGGAGCAUGUGGUUUAAUUCGAUGCAACGCGAAGAACCUUACCUGGUCUUGACAUCCACAGAAUUCUGCAGAGAUGCGGAAGUGCCUUCGGGAACUGUGAGACAGGUGCUGCAUGGCUGUCGUCAGCUCGUGUUGUGAAUGUUGGGUUAAGUCCCGCAACGAGCGCAACCCUUAUCCUUUGUUGCCAGCGGUCCGGCCGGGAACUCAAAGGAGACUGCCAGUGAUAAACUGGAGGAAGGUGGGGAUGACGUCAAGGUCAUCAUGGCCCUUACGACCAGGGCUACACACGUGCUACAAUGGCGCAUACAAAGAGAAGCGACCCCGCGAGGGCAAGCGGACCUCAUAAAGUGCGUCGUAGUCCGGAUUGGAGUCUGCUAACG